rnacentral:rRNA from 1 species
GAAUAUUGGUCAAUGGACGGAAGUCUGAACCAGCCAUGCCGCGUGAAGGAUGAAGGCCCUCUGGGUUGUAAACUUCUUUUAUCUGGGACGAAAACAGGGGAUUCUUCCUCACUUGACGGUACCAGAGGAAUAAGCACCGGCUAACUCCGUGCCAGCAGCCGCGGUAAUACGGAGGGUGCAAGCGUUAUCCGGAUUUACUGGGUUUAAAGGGUGCGUAGGUGGGUAGGUAAGUCAGUGGUGAAAUCUUCGAGCUUAACUCGGAAACUGCCAUUGAUACUAUCUGUCUUGAAUACUUUGGAGGUAAGCGGAAUAUGUCAUGUAGCGGUGAAAUGCUUAGAUAUGACAUAGAACACCAAUUGCGAAGGCAGCUUACUACACAGUCAUUGACACUGAGGCACGAAAGCGUGGGGAUCAAACAGG